CGGUACUGUGUCGGUCGGGAGGAAAGGCGUGAACACAGUGGCCAACUGAUGAGAGUUAAGGAACUGGGUGGCCCCUGAGGGCUCUCACAUGACCUGAUGACAACCCCAGCUCCGUGUACUUAUUCGGAGGUGGGGCCUAAUCGGACAGGUGGGUCACGGGCAGCUGCCUGUGAAAGCUGAACCUCGUUCCCAGCCCGCUGCCCUCCAGCUCCUCCGUAGUCUCUGCUCCUUCUCAGUGAGAGGUGAGCAGCUGUCCUGCACCAGGCCCUUCCGCUGUGAUGUUCCCGCCUUGGAGCCGGUGACCUCUGAAACUGGCAGGUGGCGGAACCACCGAGCUGAAUCCCCGACCUCUACAGUCUGUGCUGUGAACCAGCAGAAAAUCAGAGGUGGCCCUCAGACAGGAAGCGGUCACUUGAUGGGUGCUCUGAAGCAAGCCCAAGCUUAGAACCAGGAUGGAGCCACUCAGGCUUCCUGGCAGAGGCAGCCGGUACACAGCCAACAAGUGCUGCCGUUCAGCAUGGAUGCGAGUUUGGGGCCACUUCCGGCUCGGCCCUGUGACUGCUAAGUGGCCAGAGAGCAAUGGCUGCAGGCCAGUGGCUGACUGAGCAGCAGCUCCCUGCAGAGUUGUCCAGAUGUCCAGGGCAGAGUCUGCAGGCACCAUCUCCAGGGACAGCCUGGUUGGGCUGGCAAAGCCAUGCAUGAAAGGACAAUCUUGGGAGCCCAUUCCCAAAUGACAGCUGAUGAUGUCAACUGCCCUGUGGGGCACCCACCCUCCAAGUGUGAGUGUCCUUGCUGGAACUCUCCUGCCUCUGCCUCCCCAGAGAGGAUUAUGGAUCAAGCCCAGGGGCUCUCUGGUGAGACAGGGCCUCACUCGGCUGCCCAGGCUGACCUUGAACUUCCAAUCCUCCUACCUCAGAUGGGAUUAGGAGCGUGCUGGGAUCUCCCACCUUGCCCAUCCAUAGACAAGAAGGGCUGCGCUGAGGCCAAGAGGCAUGGAACUCGGCAGGUUCUGCUCCCGGUUGGUUCCUGGAUUCUUGGACCUAUGGAGCUCUCUGCUGUGAUUGCCCAGCUCUAAGUCCUGGCCUUGAGUUCAUUACAGAAGCCAGAGUUGCACAAUCGCGUCCCUGCCCCCCGGGCCUGGCCACAGAAGCAGUGGACUUCUCAGCCUCAGACUGCAGCUCAGGUACCUUUCCCUCGCCUGGCUGGGAGUCCUGGGCCCUCAGCUCAUCACGGAAGCUGAAUCCUACUGUUGCAGAGUACUUCUAGGAUGCAUUUUGGGACGCAGUGACCCCAGGCACACCACACCUUAUGACCUUGUCAUUUUAUUUGGGUGUCUUUUAAUUUGCACCCCUGGCGCCUGAUUCCACUGUGAACCUGAAUCCUGGCUUUCAAAAGAGGUUACAGUUGUGAGGCCCAGCCUAGAGCCUGCCUGGCAGGAAGCGCUCAUACCAGGGCCCAAGCCUGAACCCUCUGCUUUCUGGAGCAGCUUUUCAGUCUUUCAUAUCUGAGAAGUAAUGAAAUGGGCUUUGAGACAGGUCUCCAACACCUGAAGUUAGGCUCUGCUAUUUAAAAGCUGUGCCACUUAGAGCCAGUCAUUUUGUGUUUUUUUUGUUACCGUGGAUUGAACUCGGGUCCUUGUGCUUGCA